AUAGCAUCCAAAGCUGCUCUCUUCGUGGCCCUCAGCCUCCUCUCCGCCUUCGCCGCCCACGGCUGCGGAAGCACCUAUUGCCAACCGCCGGUCGUCGUGCCGACACCACCAGUCGUCGUUCCGCCGCCAUACCAUGGAGGAGGAGGGCAGUGCUCCAUCAACGUGCUCAACCUGAGGGUGUGCGCCAACGUUCUCGGUGGACUGCUCGGCCUCAAGAUCGGCGUUCCAGCGCGCGACCAGUGCUGCCCGCUGCUCCAGGGGUUGGCCGACCUCGACGCCGCCGUCUGCCUCUGCACCGCCGUCAGGGCCAACAUCCUCGGCCUCCACCUCAACGUGCCUGUGGACAUCAGCCUCCUCAACCACUGCGGCAAGACGUGCCCGUCUGGUUUCACCUGCCCAACCCAUUAA
rnacentral:rRNA from 1 species